GACGAAUGCUGGCUGCGUGCUUAACACAUGCAAGUCGAACGGUGAACCAGGGCUUGCCCUGGGGAUCAGUGGCGAACGGGUGAGUAACACGUGGGCAACCUGCCCCUCACUCUGGGAUAACUCCGGGAAACCGGGGCUAAUACCGGAUAUGACCUGGUGCGACAUCACACCAGGUGGAAAGAAUUUCGGUGAGGGAUGGGCCCGCGGCCUAUCAGCUAGUUGGUGGGGUAACGGCCCACCAAGGCGACGACGGGUAGCCGGCCUGAGAGGGCGACCGGCCACACUGGGACUGAGACACGGCCCAGACUCCUACGGGAGGCAGCAGUGGGGAAUAUUGCGCAAUGGGCGAAAGCCUGACGCAGCGACGCAGCGUGAGGGACGACGGCCUUCGGGUUGUAAACCUCUUUCAGCGGGGACGAAGCGAAAGUGACGGUACCCGCAGAAGAAGCACCGGCUAACUACGUGCCAGCCGCCGCCGUAACAC
rnacentral:rRNA from 1 species